rnacentral:misc_RNA from 1 species
GUGAAUCAUCGAAUCUUUGAACGCAAAUUGCACUCUCUUCGGUGAGUAUGCCUGUUUGAGGGUCAGCCUAAUAAAAAAUCGACAUAGUCGCUGUUUCGCGUUGACAUUCGGUGGUAAUUGGGUAAUCUUAAACUUUUGUGUUUUAAGGGUCUUAAAAUUUUCUCUUCGAUUCCACCAAUGCUUCUAAGUUAU